UUCGGGUUGUAAACCUCUUUCAGCAGGGAAGAAGCGAGAGUGACGGUACCUGCAGAAGAAGCGCCGGCUAACUACGUGCCAGCAGCCGCGGUAAUACGUAGGGCGCAAGCGUUGUCCGGAAUUAUUGGGCGUAAAGAGCUCGUAGGCGGCUUGUCACGUCGGAUGUGAAAGCCCGGGGCUUAACCCCGGGUCUGCAUUCGAUACGGGCUAGCUAGAGUGUGGUAGGGGAGAUCGGAAUUCCUGGUGUAGCGGUGAAAUGCGCAGAUAUCAGGAGGAACACCGGUGGCGAAGGCGGAUCUCUGGGCCAUUACUGACGCUGAGGAGCGAAAGCGUGGGGAGCGAACAGGAUUAGAUACCCUGGUAGUCCAAGGGCGAA
rnacentral:rRNA from 1 species